rnacentral:rRNA from 1 species
UGGGGAAUAUUGGACAAUGGGCGCAAGCCUGAUCCAGCCAUGCCGCGUGUGUGAAGAAGGCCUAUUGGUUGUAAAGCACUUUAAGCGAGGAGGAGGCUACUUGGAUUAAUACUCUAAGAUAGUGGACGUUACUCGCAGAAUAAGCACCGGCUAACUCUGUGCCAGCAGCCGCGGUAAUACAGAGGGUGCGAGCGUUAAUCGGAUUUACUGGGCGUAAAGCGUGCGUAGGCGGCUUCUUAAGUCGGAUGUGAAAUCCCUGAGCUUAACUUAGGAAUUGCAUUCGAUACUGGGAAGCUAGAGUAUGGGAGAGGAUGGUAGAAUUCCAGGUGUAGCGGUGAAAUGCGUAGAGAUCUGGAGGAAUACCGAUGGCGAAGGCAGCCAUCUGGCCUAAUACUGACGCUGAGGUACGAAAGCAUGGGGAGCAAACAGG